rnacentral:rRNA from 1 species
UACAUGGGGUGCAAACGUUGCUCGGAAUUAUUGGGCGUAAAGCGCGCGUAGGCGGUUACUUAAGUCGGAUGUGAAAGCCCUUGGCUUAACUGAGGAAGUGCACCCGAAACUGAGUAGCUAGAGUACGAAAGAGGGUCGCGGAAUUCCCGGUGUAGAGGUGAAAUUCGUAGAUAUCGGGAGGAACACCGGUGGCGAAGGCGGCGACCUGGGUCGAGACUGACGCUGAGGCGCGAAAGCGUGGGGAGCAAACAGG